GGGGGUCCUCCAGGGGCAUAGAGUUGAGGGUCGGGGGGUCCUCCAGGGUCAUAGAGUUGAGGGGUGGGGGUCCUCCAGGGUCAUAGAGUUGAGGGUCGGGGGGUCCUCCAGGGUCAUAGAGUUGAGGGGUGGGGGUCCUCCAGGGUCAUAGAGAUGAGGGUGGGGGUCCUCCAGGGUCAUAGAGAUGAGGGGUGGGGGUCCUCCAAGGGCAUAGAGAGUGGGGGGGUCCUCCAGGGGCAUAGAGAUGAGGGUGGGGGUCCUCCAGGGUCAUAGAGAUGAGGGGUGGGGGUCCUCCAAGGGCAUAGAGAUG
ensembl:lncRNA